GGGAGAGUAACGCGUGGAUAUGUACCCUUGGAUCUGGGAUAGCGGCGGGAAACUGCCGGUAAUACCAGAUAACGUCUCCGGACCAAAGGUGUGAUUCCGUCCGAGGAGCAGUCCGCGUGCUAUUAGCUAGUUGGUGAGGUAAUGGCUCACCAAGGCAAAGAUGGCUAGCGGGUGUGAGAGCAUGGCCCGCCUCAUUGGGACUGAGACACUGCCCAGACACCUACGGGUGGCUGCAGUCGAGAAUCUUCGGCAAUGGGCGCAAGCCUGACCGAGCGACGCCGCGUGCGGGACGAAGGCCUUCGGGUUGUAAACCGCUGUCAGAGGGGCGGAAAUGCAUUGGGGUUCUCCCCAGUGUUUGACUUAACCUCAGAGGAAGCACGGGCUAAGUUCGUGCCAGCAGCCGCGGUAAGACGAACCGUGCAAACGUUAUUCGGAAUCACUGGGCUUAAAGCGUGCGUAGGCGGCUCAGAAAGUUGGGUGUGAAAUGCCUCGGCUCAACCGAGGAAUUGCGCUCAAAACUACUGAGCUUGA
rnacentral:rRNA from 1 species